GGAGUUGGGAAGACCACUUCUCAACAAGAAAUAAAGAAGGCGUAUCACAAAUUGGCUCUGCGCCUCCACCCAGAUAAGAAUCCUGGGGAUGAGGCAUUGGUGGGAGAAGCAGCAAACAAUCUUCAGGAGUACUUCAGAACAAUGUACAAGAAAGUAUGGUUGCUUCUAUAUUAAUUGUAGGCUAAUGUUGUCUAUUAAUUUACAAUGAUAUUUUUUAGGGAAAUACAGUAGCGAGAACUCUGUUGUGGCAUAAAACUAGCUCUGUUGCUCUGUCUCUAAAAGAAUACCCUUUUGGCUUGUUCAGAUGUAUAGCCAGAGUGACAGUAUUUUGGGGACAGGUUGUAUAUUUUUAUAUAUAAUGGUACUUAAUUUAAUCUUUAUUCCCAGGUCGCGGAGGCUGACAUUGAAGAAUUUGAAGCUAAAUAUAGAGGGUCAGAUUAUGAGAAAACGGACUUGAAGGACCUCUACACAAAAUAUAAGGGCAACAUGAACAGGAAUAAUUAUCUCUUAUAUCAUAUUGUAAAAUCUGAAAUAGUUCUCCAGUAGAUGGUUAGCUUGCAUUUUACACUACAAUUAGCUCAGAUCACUUCUUGUUGUAUCUUACACCAAUUUACGACAUUUCUUGAUGUGUUUUAUGACAACCUCAUGCGCUGAGAGAUACAUUCGGUCUACAUUCGUUAUUAUGAAACAGAUGGACGAUUUACGCUAAAAUUCAUACUCAUUUACGUUGUUUUGGUUCACGAUUUACACUUA